rnacentral:rRNA from 1 species
CGGGUUCGCCCGCCGAUUGGACAAUUUAAACCAUUUGCAGUUGCAAUCAGCGUCUGAAAAAACAUAAUAGUUACAACUUUCAACAACGGAUCUCUUGGUUCUGGCAUCGAUGAAGAACGCAGCGAAAUGCGAUAAGUAGUGUGAAUUGCAGAAUUCAGUGAAUCAUCGAAUCUUUGAACGCACAUUGCGCCCCUUGGUAUUCCAUGGGGCAUGCCUGUUCGAGCGUCAUUUGUACCUUCAAGCUCUGCUUGGUGUUGGGUGUUUGUCUCGCCUCUGCGCGUAGACUCGCCUCAAAACAAUUGGCAGCCGGCGUAUUGAUUUCGGAGCGCAGUACAUCUCGCGCUUUGCAUUCAGAACGACGACGUCCAAAAGUACAUUUUUACACUCUUGACCUCGGAUCAGGUAGGG